rnacentral:rRNA from 1 species
UCCGUAGGUGGCUAGCGUUGUCCGGAUUUACUGGGCGUAAAGAGCGCGCAGGCGGUCGUUCAAGUCGAGUGUGAAAGCCCCCGGCUCAACUGGGGAGGGUCACUCGAUACUGAUCGACUCGAAGGCAGGAGAGGGAAGCGGAAUUCCCGGUGUAGUGGUGAAAUGCGUAGAUAUCGGGAGGAACACCAGUGGCGAAGGCGGCUUUCUGGCCUGCUCUUGACGCUGAGGCGCGAAAGCGUGGGGAGCGAACAGG